AACUAGCCCCGAUUGAACGGAAAGCCCACAGCGCAGCGAGGACUUGAAGUAAAAGCGGGACUGGAA
rnacentral:sRNA from 1 species